CAACCACUGCGGAUCAACACCGUCCGCAUCUAAUCUGGGCAGAGGGAGACCAAAGCCUCCUGGGGCUGUGACCACCAGCAAGAGCCUUGCCUGACAGAUGGAGGACCUGGACUGCUCAGGCCCACUGUGGCCACCCUGAGACCUCAGGCCAACUGUUUGUCCCCUCCUCCUCCCCUUCUGCGAGCUGGAGAUUGCACUCCGUGGUUGAUGCCCUGUGGCUCUGAUCUUAAUGGGAUGUGACAUGGCUUCUCCCCAGGGCAGCCCUUGCCCAACCCCUCAUCCCCAUUCUCUCAGGAACAGGGAAGCUCUCUGUUCCCCUCCUCCUGCCCAGCUAACCUAGCAUCGUGACAGGUCAGAUGUGAUCAGUAGCUAGCAGCCCAAAAGGUAUACAAAAUCCUCUUAUGCCUAAGAAUUGACUCACCCUUGACCAGGAGAGCUAUGGGCCAUUUUACUUUGGAUCCAAUUCCUUAGGGGAGCUUGGCAGAAGCUGGAUUAUUUGAGAGUCACCCUCUCUUGCUACCCGUGCUCCAAGCCGAGAACUGUGGGUUUCCUCCUCUCUCACUGAUCUGCAAGUCACACAAGACAGGUAGCUCACAACAUACCAUUACCUUCUAGCCCAUGGAUUCUGGGGCAGAGUGAGGUAUAAGGACCCUAGAAACCCAUAUAGAAGAACACCAUCAGGACAAAGCACCAAUGGAUGAUCCAAGUCCCCAACAGCCCCUGGGGACAGAGGUCCUACAAUCCUCAUCACACAGGUCUCUGACCUACUGCAUGGACGGAGAGGGUGCUGGCAGCAGCUUUUUUUCCGUCAGGACCUGAAGCCCAGGAGAUUGUUAUCGGGUACCACCCUGGACUUGACAUCUGGCUCCCUUAGGAUCCUGAGGCACAAACAAUAGCCGCCUUAGUUGACUUCAUCAGACAAGAAUUUGCAGUCAGCUCCCUGGUGACUUGCAAGAUCACUGAAAGGGAUGGAAGAGGACAGCCUUUGCCAGAGUUUCCAGGAACAGCUCCCACCAUCUAGAGGGUUUGUGUCUUGUGACCAGAAUGGUGCUUCCAUUUGCAGCUGCCCCACAAGCUGCUGGCUGCCACCAUCCACGCCAGAAAGUUAUUGUCCGUGUCUGUCCCACCACACCACACCCCCCAACUCGGGUCCCAGUUCUACAUCUUUCAGAGGGAUUCUUUUUGUGGAAACUUGAGUCCAGAACCUAGACUUUGACUGCAAAGCACUCUGAGAAAUGUAGUUUUUCCUCUUCCAGCCUCAGCCACAAAGUUAUCAUGGAGGUGGAAUAGAUCCAUCCACAAUUUCCUUGCCAAUGAAUCCAACUGUGAAGAACUCAGGAGAAUCCAUGAAUCCACCUGAAGGCCUUGGCUUUGAAACAGAACUGCUAAAAAUGUCCUGCUCCGUGACUCUGUCCCUGCCUGUCCCUGCCUGUCCCUGCCUGUCCCUGCCCAGAGGCAACAACUUAGGGAAUCAGUAGCAUCAGAAAUAGAGACAAAAUGACUUCCCAGCCUGGGCCUUCCUUUGUUGCCCCAGGUCCUCAAUUCUGUACUUGGGAUUCAGUGAGCAUGUCCAUCUCCGGUGAGCCAGAAUAUGAACUUGAGGGGUUCUCACUCACAACUGCCAUGUGCUAGCCCCCCCUGAGCAAGAAGAAUCCUGAGUCCUGCUCUUCCUCUCAACUCCCAGACACCAGGCCACGCCUGGCAGUAUUUUUAUUUAAAACAUGGCCCCUUUUGUGCAUUCUGAUCAGUUUGUAUUAAAUUAAAGUUACAGGG
rnacentral:lncRNA from 1 species